rnacentral:rRNA from 1 species
GACGAACGCUGGCGGCGUGCCUAAUACAUGCAAGUAGGACGCAGUUGCGAACGGGUGAGUAACGCGUCGGUAACUGCCUAUUAGAGGGGGAUAACUAUUGGAAACGAUAGCUAAUACCGCAUACUAGUAGAUGUACCUGCGUUGUAUUAGGUAGUAGGUAGGGUAAUGGCCUACCUAGGCAACGAUACAUAGCCGACCUGGGAGGGUGAGCAGCCAAAAUUGGACUGGGAAACGGCCCAUACUCCUACGGGAGGCAGCAGUAGGGAAUCGUCGGCAAUGGGGGGAACCCUGACCGAGCAACGCCGGGUGAGUGAAGAAGGUUUUCGGAUCGUAAAGCUCUGUUGUGAAGGAAGCGGUACUUAACCAGAAAGGGACGGCUAACUACGUGCCAGCAGCCGCGGUAAUAC